CCGGCCUCGGCGCCCACAAGGACGGGUGAGAUUCCCCUUCGCGCCUCGGUGCGUCUGUUUCGGGGACGUCUGUGGUGGCUGACGAAACAUGCUUUGACAGGGAGCGAGCGAGGACCAAUGACUACAACUCCCAGAAGGCCCCACUGAUGACGUUGUGGUGUUGUUUCGGGCUUUCCCACCACAGAUGUAAGGCUCAAUGGUCUAUAAUUAUCUGGACUAUCCCUACUACCCUUUUUGAACAAGGGGACAACAUUCGCCUCCCUCCAAUACUCCGGUACAAUUCCCGUGGACAAUGGGGACAUAAUGAUCUUCGCCAGAGGCUCAGCAAUCUAUUUCCUUGCCUCGGAUGCAGAACUGGGAAGCGCAGAUGGAGUUCAACACAGAUGAAGAGGUUCAUUUCUGCAGGUCAAAUUUGAACACAGAAUAUAAUAUUAAUGUGAUCUUACUCCUGACGCCAGUCCCAGGACCCAACCCAUUUACAGACCUGGAGCGGAACCGGAGCAGAUCCUCAGCCACUGGUUUUCAUCCCCAGUCGCAAACUUUCCCACCACAGAUGGAAGGCUCAAUGGUCUAUAAUUAUCGGGACUAUCCCUACUACCCUUUUUGUACAAGGGGACAACAUUUGCCUCCCUCCAGUCCUCCGGUACCAUUCCCGUGGACAAUAAGGACAUAAUGAUCCUAGCCAGAGGCUCAGCAAUCUAUCUCCUCGCCUCGGAUGCAGAACCGGAAAGUGGCAGAGGGAGUUCAACACAGCUGAAGAAGUUCAUUUCUGCAGGUCAAAUUUGAACACAGAAUAUAAUAUUAAUGGAGGAGGCAGCUUUUUUCGUGAACACAGUUCUUAAAUAUUCUCUCUCUCUUCGGCUGUCACUCAGAAUCCAGCUCCAGCCUCUUAAAGUGACACUCGGAGUUAAGGAAACAGGAGCUGGUAACAGGUGUGUCGGUUGCUUUGGGGUGCACACUGGCUGGAGGGUAGAAGGUGGGUUUUUCGGUGAGCACAGAUUUGUGGGUGCACACCGAUUUUCAGAUAUGUGAAGAGUGGGUGUGUUGGCGGAUUCGGGGGUGCACACUGACUGGAGGGUUGAAUGUGUUUUUUUUCGGUGAGCACAGAUUUGUGGGUGCACACCGAUUUGCAGAUAUGUGAAUAGUGGGUGUGUUGACCGAUUCGGGGGUGAACACUGACUGGAGGGUUGAAUGUGGGGUUUUUUCGGUGAGCACAGAUUUGUGGGUGCACACCGAUUUGCAGAUAUGUGCAUAGUGGGUGUGUUGGCGGAUUCGCGGUGAACACUGACUUGGGGGAACCGGUGGAUUUCGAGGUGUUACAAAUCUCAUGGUUUUUCCCUUUAUACGGACUUCAAUAAUAAAUGCAAUAUGAAAUUUGACCUCUGUUUUUGAUUUUUUUUUAAUGGAGACAGCCAUUCCGUGAA